rnacentral:rRNA from 1 species
UCCCGUACUUCUUACAAUUGCGAUGGGGGGACGGAGAAGGCUAGGUGGGCCUGGCGACGGUUGUCCAGGUUCAAGUGCGUAGGCUUAAGAGUUAGGUAAAUCCGGCUCUUUCUAAGGCUGAGACACGACGUCGAGCUACUACGGUAGUGAAGUCAUUGAUGCCAUGCUUCCAGGAAAAGCCUCUAAGCUUCAGAUUGUAAGGAAUCGUACCCCAAACCGACACAGGUGGUCGGGUAGAGAAUACCAAGGCGCUUGAG